UGGCUUUUGUUUUCUUGUUAGAAUGGCAGGCUCACUCAAAUGCUGUAUUUGACCUUGCCUGGGUGCCAGGGGAACACAGGAUUGUCACUGCUUCAGGAGAUCAGACAGCCAAGGUGUGGGAUGUGAGAGCUGGUGAACUUCUUGGCAUAUGCAAAGGUCACCAGUGUAGCCUCAAGUCAGUUGCUUUUUCCAGAUUUGAGAAAGCUGUUUUCUGUACUGGAGGGAGAGAUGGAAACAUCAUGGUUUGGGAUACCAGGUGCAAUAAGAAAGGUAA